UAGGGAAUCUUCGGCAAUGGGGGCAACCCUGACCGAGCAACGCCGCGUGAGUGAAGAAGGUUUUCGGAUCGUAAAGCUCUGUUGUAAGAGAAGAACGAGUGUGAGAGUGGAAAGUUCACACUGUGACGGUAACUUACCAGAAAGGGACGGCUAACUACGUGCCAGCAGCCGCGGUAAUACGUAGGUCCCGAGCGUUAUCCGGAUUUAUUGGGCGUAAAGCGAGCGCAGGCGGUUAGAUAAGUCUGAAGUUAAAGGCUGUGGCUUAACCAUAGUACGCUUUGGAAACUGUUUAACUUGAGUGCAGAAGGGGAGAGUGGAAUUCCAUGUGUAGCGGUGAAAUGCGUAGAUAUAUGGAGGAACACCGGUGGCGAAAGCGGCUCUCUGGUCUGUAACUGACGCUGAGGCUCGAAAGCGUGGGGAGCAAACAGGAUUAGAUACCCUGGUAGUCCACGCCGUAAACGGUGAGUGCUAGGUGUUGGGUCCUUUCCGGGACUCAGUGCCGCAGCUAACGCAUUAAGCACUCCGCCUGGGGAGUACGACCGCAAGGUUG
rnacentral:rRNA from 1 species